rnacentral:rRNA from 1 species
AAUGAACGCUGGCGGCAUGCCUAAUACAUGCAAGUCGAACGAGCACUUCGGGUCCUUUGGCGCACGGGUGCGUCACGCGUGGGAACCUGCACACAGGUUCGGAAUAACUCUCCGACAGGGGUGCCAAUACCGGACCAUGUCUUCGGCCCAAAGAUUUAUCGACUUUGGUUGGGCACGCGUUGGAUUCGCUUGUUGGUAGGGUAAUAGCUUCCUAAGGCGACGAUUCAUAGCUGGUCUGAGAGAAUGGUCAGCCACACUGAGACUGAGACACGGCCCAGACUCUUACGGGAGGCAGCAGAGGCGAAUAGAGGACAAUGGGCGGAGUGCUGAAGCACCAAUGCCGCGAGAGUGAUGAAGGCCUUAGAGAUGAAAAGCGCUUUUACCCGGGAUGAUAAUGACAGUACCGGGAGAAUAAGCUCCGGCUAACUCCGUG